CAAAACAAUAGGCAAUGUAUCUUUUAUAGGUUUGAAAAUUUCUCUUCGGGAAUAACAUUAAUCACAACGCAUGUUAGUACAGGAGUUUUCCAGCAACAGCGGCAACCCACGACAAAUUGAUUCUCUAAGAAAGUUGGAAAAAACUCACCGGAGAACUCUUCGCCUCACCCGCGGAGUGAAAAUUAAUGGAGGACAAGUGAAAUCUUAAAUCACACUUUGCGAUAUCAAUUUGCCAAAGUUGAAGCUCUUCAGGAACCC